GGUGUUGUGGCUCAGUGGUAGAGCACUUGCCUAGCAUGUGUGAGGCCUUGGGUUCGAUCCUCAGCACCA
rnacentral:tRNA from 1 species